rnacentral:rRNA from 1 species
GCGGAAUGUAUUAGGCAUGCAAGUCGCACGAGCCUUCGGGCUAGUGGCGAACGGGUGAGUAACACGUGGGUAACCUGCCUCGUAGUGGGGAAUAACUCGCCGAAAGGCGAGCUAAUACCGCAUAAGACCUUCGGUGAGAAUCCGAGAGGUGAAAGCUCCGGCGCUACGAGAGGGGCCCGCGGCCGAUUAGCUAGUUGGUGGGGUAACGGCCUACCAAGGCGACGAUCGGUAGCUGGUCUGAGAGGAUGGUCAGCCACACGGGGACUGAGAUACGGCCCCGACUCCUACGGGAGGCAGCAGCUAAGAAUCUUGCGCAAUGGGCGAAAGCCUGACGCAGCANUUCCGCGUGGAGGACGAAGGCCUUCGGNUUGUAAACUCCUUUUGUGAGGGAAGAAGAUCUGACGGUACCUCACGAAUAAGACACGGCUAACUACGUGCCAGCAGCCGCGGUAAUACGUAGGUGUC